UCUCCAUGGCUCUCUUCGGUGACGGGUAUUCUUGGGUGGAUAAUACGGAUUACGUUGUUAUUGCUUAAGAAUACGCGUAGUUGAGGAGAGUUAUCUACAC